rnacentral:rRNA from 1 species
UGGGGAAUCUUGCACAAUGGGCGGAAGCCUGAUGCAGCGACGCCGCGUGGGGGAUGACGGCCUUCGGGUUGUAAACUCCUUUCGCCAGGGACGAAGCCGUGAGGUGACGGUACCUGGAUAAGAAGCACCGGCUAACUACGUGCCAGCAGCCGCGGUAAUACGUAGGGUGCGAGCGUUGUCCGGAAUUACUGGGCGUAAAGAGCUCGUAGGUGGUUUGUCGCGUCGUCUGUGAAAUUCCGGGGCUUAACUCCGGGCGUGCAGGCGAUACGGGCAUAACUUGAGUGCUGUAGGGGAGACUGGAAUUCCUGGUGUAGCGGUGAAAUGCUCAGAUAUCAGGAGGAACACCGAUGGCGAAGGCAGGUCUCUGGGCAGUAACUGACGCUGAGGAGCGAAAGCAUGGGUAGCGAACAGG